rnacentral:rRNA from 1 species
AGUCGAACGCACUUUCGUUAGAUUGAAGAAGCUUGCUUCUGAUUGAUAACAUUUGAGUGAGUGGCGGACGGGUGAGUAACACGUGGGUAACCUGCCCUAAAGUGGGGGAUAACAUUUGGAAACAGAUGCUAAUACCGCAUAAAACCUAGCACCGCAUGGUGCAAGGUUGAAAGAUGGUUUCGGCUAUCACUUUAGGAUGGACCCGCGGUGCAUUAGUUAGUUGGUGAGGUAAAGGCUCACCAAGACCGUGAUGCAUAGCCGACCUGAGAGGGUAAUCGGCCACACUGGGACUGAGACACGGCCCAGACUCCUACGGGAGGCAGCAGUAGGGAAUCUUCCACAAUGGACGAAAGUCUGAUGGAGCAACGCCGCGUGAGUGAAGAAGGUUUUCGGAUCGUAAAACUCUGUUGUUGGAGAAGAACGUAUUUGAUAGUAACUGAUCAGGUAGUGACGGUAUCCAACCAGAAAGCCACGGCUAACUACGUGCCAGCAGCCGCGGUAAUACGUAGGUGGCAAGCGUUGUCCGGAUUUAUUGGGCGUAAAGCGAGCGCAGGCGGUUUCUUAAGUCUGAUGUGAAAGCCUUCGGCUCAACCGAAGAAGUGCAUCGGAAACUGGGAAACUUGAGUGCAGAAGAGGACAGUGGAACUCCAUGUGUAGCGGUGAAAUGCGUAGAUAUAUGGAAGAACACCAGUGGCGAAGGCGGCUGUCUGGUCUGUAACUGACGCUGAGGCUCGAAAGCAUGGGUAGCAAACAGGAUUAGAUACCCUGGUAGUCCAUGCCGUAAACGAUGAGUGCUAGGUGUUGGAGGGUUUCCGCCCUUCAGUGCCGCAGCUAACGCAUUAAGCACUCCGCCUGGGGAGUACGACCGCAAGGUUGAAACUCAAAGGAAUUGACGGGGGCCCGCACAAGCGGUGGAGCAUGUGGUUUAAUUCGAAGCAACGCGAA